rnacentral:lncRNA from 1 species
ACCCGCCAGCCCCGCGCUCUACCAGGCAGAGCGCGUGUGGCCGCCGAGCACAUGGACCCACUGGUCAAGCGGGCUCGGCAAGGCCAGGAUGAAGAGAAGCUACGAACUUAGCAUUCCCAGAGCCCCCCGAGUGGAUAUCCGCGUGGAAAGGAUGUUGGCAGCCCCGGUGACCUCGGAGUCACGGCUGGAUCCACCCUCUUGUCUGAUUUUCUUAACUCUACUACGGUAAGAAGAUGCCCUCCAUCAGCAGGCCGUGUCUGCUGGGACCUCUCUGGAGACUUCCUGAACCCUGUGGAUUUACAGUAAGAUGCAGUUUCCUGGGGAGUAAUUCUGGUGGAUACAAAUUCCGGAGUAUUACACCUGGCUUGCCUGGAGAUGUUACAAGUAGCUGGAUGGAUUCUUCAGCCUGGAUGCCCACUGAAAACAAGGACCGAAACUAAGAGGAUUGUAUCUCUACCCUUGACUCAAUGAGAAUGUUUGUUGUCAUCUCUCGGGCUACCUGGAGCUCCCUCUAAAAUUAUACCCUUUAAGCGUUCCAGAAGGAUUUUGAGAUCCUUUCCUAAAUCAAAGGUGGAAUAUUUGGGGAUUUGGAAAAUUGAGAUGUGAAGCGUUGACUUAAGAGAUGCCAAGUAACUCAGCAGAUGUCACACAGACGAUAAAUAGCAAAGAUGGAAGUCUUCAUGCCGGAGGCAAUCCUAUAAGACAGCUGAGUUCUGCAGAGCUGGUAGGAGACAGACUUGCUCAGGUGAUAGAUCCAGCCAUGAUACUGACCCUAAGAGAAUGAGACGCUCUGCAGAAGACAGAAGAUUCCUGAAACUGGGAAAGGUGCCUAGAAAUCCUGAUAAGAGUGAAGAAGGAGCUGGCAGAGCAGCCUUCCUCCGCACUAUGAAAGACAUCCAACAGAGAGCAAGUUCCCACCUCACUUCCAGCUUGACUCCUUUUUAUCUCCUAACUGUGGUCUGUGAUGUCUUCAGCAAUGGGUACCUGGAGGCACAGCAGCCAUGUUGAACCUAUGAGGUGAUGAAAAACCAUGCAACUAGAAACCAGAAUGGAAGAAAAGAAGAAGCUGGAUCCUUGACUGAAUUGUCGAUGGGGGAUAGUCCAUCAUCCCAGGGCUAAGACCACCUCCAGAUUUCUUGUUUGGUGAAACAAGUCCUGAUUGUUUACAUUCCCUCGUGUUGAGCUGUCUCUUGCUUGUAGCUGAAAGCAUUUCUAAUAGAUAUUCAGAUUAUCAGCCUUAGCUCCAAGCUAGAAUACUCUAUGGGACCUUAGCUUCUCCAUGAAUUCCUUUGCUCAUCUGUGUAAUGCUCAAUAAAUGUAAAUUGAACCCUGAAUGAGGGACAAUGACACUA